rnacentral:misc_RNA from 1 species
AAAAAAAAAAUUUAAUGAAUGGUCGGAGGGGAACAUUUUUUGUUCCCCUUUGGCUUUAUUCAACCAACCCGCUCUUGUAUUUUGUAUCAAACAAAAAAUUUCUUUAAAAACUAAUAAAAAAUAGUAAUGUAAAAAAA